AUUGAACGCUGGCGGCAUGCCUUACACAUGCAAGUCGAACGGCAGCACGGGAGCAAUCCUGGUGGCGAGUGGCGAACGGGUGAGUAAUACAUCGGAACGUGCCCAAUCGUGGGGGAUAACGCAGCGAAAGCUGUGCUAAUACCGCAUAAGAUCUACGGAUGAAAGCAGGGGAUCGCAAGACCUUGCGCGAAUGGAGCGGCCGAUGGCAGAUUAGGUAGUUGGUGAGGUAAAGGCUCACCAAGCCUUCGAUCUGUAGCUGGUCUGAGAGGACGACCAGCCACACUGGGACUGAGACACGGCCCAGACUCCUACGGAGGCAGCAGUGGGGAAUUUU
rnacentral:rRNA from 1 species